GACGAACGCUAGCUACAGGCUUUACACAUGCAAGUCGAGGGGUAACAAGAGGAAAGCUUGCUUUCCUUGUUGACGACCGGCGCACGGGUGAGUAACGCGUAUCCAACCUGCCUAUAACUAGGGAAUAACCUUGCGAAAGUAAGACUAAUACCCUAUGAUUUCCUUUGAUGACAUCAGAUUAGGAAUAAAGAUUUAUCGGUUAUAGAUGGGGAUGCGUCUGAUUAGCUUGUUGGCGGGGUGACGGCCCACCAAGGCAACGAUCAGUAGGGGUUCUGAGAGGAAGGUCCCCCACAUUGGAACUGAGAAACGGUCCAAACUCCUACGGGAGGCAGCAGUGAGGAAUAUUGGUCAAUGGGCGGAAGCCUGAACCAGCCAAGUAGCGUGCAGGAUGACGGCCCUAUGGGUUGUAAACUGCUUUUAUACAGGAAUAAAGUUAGCCACGUGUGGUUAUUUGUAGGUACUGUAUGAAUAAGGACCGGCUAAUUCCGUGCCAGCCGCCGCGGUAA
rnacentral:rRNA from 1 species